rnacentral:rRNA from 1 species
GUUACCAGCACGUUAUGGUGGGCACUCUAAGGAGACUGCCGGUGACAACCGGAGGAAGGUGGGAUGACGUCAAGUCAUCAUGGCCCUUACGGCCUGGGCUACACACGUGCUACAAUGGUCGGUACAAAGGGUUGCCAAGCCGCGAGGUGGAGCUAAUCCCAUAAAACCGAUCGUAGUCCGGAUCGCAGUCUGCAACUCGACUGCGUGAAGUCGGAAUCGCUAGUAAUCGUGAAUCAGAAUGUCACGGUGAAUACGUUCCCGGGCCUU